UUUUACUACUGAUGUGUCCAGUGGGUCGAGGAAAAUCCAGGAAGAUUUCUGUGAAGCGCGCCUCGAGUCUCGUGUUGAUGACGUAUGUGAUGACGUUCGAGGUCCUGAGAGGCGGUGUGAUGGUUUAACUGGUGUAUGGAGCAAAACAACUUCUUGGAGGAAGUAAUCAAUGUUUGUUUUGGAAUUGGUCCAUUUGGCUUUGUGGAUGUGAUAUUUCAACGAGGAGCAGCAGCAGUUGUACAAAGUGUGGGUUGGGGGAGACUUUAGAUUCGGGAUAUGGAGCUCCACAGCCACAUCGACAAGGUGACGGCGCUCUGCUCGGCUGAGGAUCGUUACGUUCUCAGUGGAGCCGGCAAACCAAUGGGAAGAUUGCCAUCUGGAAGGCGGAUAAAAGGGGACUGGAUUUAAGCAACGGUUAGUGCUGCACUAAGCUCUGCGAAUCUUCUGAACCAUGAAGGAGGAAAAAUUAAAGGAAGUUCAACAAAGACUGACAAAUGGUCUUUAAAUGAAGGAAUUACAUGUAAAGCAUCGUGUUUACAUGAGGUAUCAGCAAGUGUGAAGCCUUUCCUGCCUAUGAAGACUUGUGAUGUCAAUACAGGUGACACUUUUAGGUUCUAGUAAAGAUGAAGGAUGAUUGACUGAAACACAAGGUCUGCUGAUGGUUUUUUACCGCAAAGUGUAUCACAGAUGUGUUUAUUCUGUAAGGCCACGUAUAAUCUGAAAACAUUAUGUGACUUAUCUUUACCUCACGCUGUUUGCUUGAUGGGAAAAUUUGCAACUUUGAGGAGUCAAACUACCAUGAAAACACAGCAGAGGUUGCAGAUUUCACCAGCACUGUGGGAAAGAUCCUACAGGAGAUUGUUCUGGUGGAAGCUGUGCUUUAAUACGAGGAUGCAUGGUGAUGGGAACUGCAGUCGUUGAUUUGCUGUACAUCAGAACAUCUUGAGAACUCAUGCUUACUCCUGCCACAGUGCCUUAGAAAAGUAUUCAUGUUUUGUCACAUUCAACCUCAAACAUCAAUGUAUUUUGUUGUGGUUUUAAUUUAUGGAUUAACACAAAGUAACACAUAAUGGUGAAACAGAAGGGACAGCAUACAUAGUUGACCAAAUGUUCUCCUUUCUGUUUGCAAAAUAGCUCGAACUGGAAUAAAGAACAUCUCUGAGCAGUAAUUUUCAA